rnacentral:tRNA from 2 species
GCAAUGGUGGUUCAGGGAUAGAAUUCUUGCCUGCCAUGUGAGAGGCCUGGGUUCGAUUCCCAGCCAGUGCA